rnacentral:rRNA from 1 species
UACGGAGGGUGCAAGCGUUGUCCGGAAUCACUGGGCGUAAAGGGCGCGUAGGCGGCUCAUGAAGGCUGUGGUGAAAAUCCGGGGCUCAACCCCGGACUUGCGGUGGGUACGGGCAGACUAGAGUGUGGUAGGGGAGACUGGAAUUCCUGGUGUAGCGGUGAAAUGCGCAGAUAUCAGGAGGAACACCGAUGGCGAAGGCAGGUCUCUGGGCAUUAACUGACGCUGAGGAGCGAAAGCAUGGGGGAGCGAACAGG